rnacentral:rRNA from 1 species
UACAGAGGGUGCAAGCGUUGUUCGGAAUUAUUGAGCGUAAAGCGCGUGUAGGCGGCUUGUUAUGUCGGGUGUGAAAGCCCUCAGCUUAACUGAGGAAGUGCGCCCGAAACUGGCAAGCUUGAGUGCCGGAGAGGAUAGCGGAACACCCGGUGUAGAGGUGAAAUGCGCAGAUAUCGGGAAGAACACCCGUGGCGAAGGCGGCUCUCUGGGACGGUACUGACGCUGAGACGCGAAAGCGUGGGGAGCGAACAGG